rnacentral:sRNA from 1 species
GCUGGGUACAGUGGAGCAUACCUGUAAUCCCAAUGGCUCAGGAGGCUGAGGCAGGAGGAUUGCAAGUUUAAAGCCAGCCUCAGCUACUUAGCGAGGAACUUAGUAACUCAGCAAGACCCCAUCUCUA